rnacentral:rRNA from 1 species
GACGAACGCUGGCGGCGUGCCUAAUACAUGCAAGUCGAACGCAUUUUCUUUCACCGUAGCUUGCUACACCGAAAGAAAAUGAGUGGCGAACGGGUGAGUAACACGUGGGUAACCUGCCCAUCAGCGGGGGAUAACACUUGGAAACAGGUGCUAAUACCGCAUAAUUCCAUUUACCGCAUGGUAAAUGGAUGAAAGGCGCUUUUGCGUCACUGAUGGAUGGACCCGCGGUGCAUUAGCUAGUUGGUGGGGUAACGGCCUACCAAGGCUGCGAUGCAUAGCCGACCUGAGAGGGUGAUCGGCCACACUGGGACUGAGACACGGCCCAGACUCCUACGGGAGGCAGCAGUAGGGAAUCUUCGGCAAUGGACGCAAGUCUGACCGAGCAACGCCGCGUGAGUGAAGAAGGUUUUUGGAUCGUAAAACUCUGUUGUUAGAGAAGAACAAGGAUGAGAGUGGAAAGUUCAUCCCUUGACGGUAUCUAACCAGAAAGCCACGGCUAACUACGUG